rnacentral:rRNA from 1 species
CGGACGACGCUGGCGGCGUGCCUAACACAUGCAAGUCGAGCGGGGUUGAAGCGAGGGGUAACUCGGACUUCUACCUAGCGGCGGACGGGUGAGUAACGCGUGGGCAACCUGCCUCAAGGUUUGGGAUAACAGCUCGAAAGGGCUGCUAAUACCGGAUAUGCCUGUGGCCUCGCAUGGGGCUAUGAGCAAAGGGGAAACCCGCCUUGAGAUGGGCCCGCGUCCCAUCAGCUAGUUGGUGAGGUGAAGGCUCACCAAGGCGACGACGGGUAGCCGGCCUGAGAGGGUGACCGGCCACACUGGGACUGAGACACGGCCCAGACUCCUACGGGGGGCAGCAGUGGGGGAUCUUGCACAAUGGGCGAAAGCCUGAUGCAGCGACGCCGCGUGAGCGAAGAAGGCCUUCGGGUUGUAAAGCUCUGUCUGGAGGGACGAAGAAAAUGACGGUACCUCCGGAGGAAGCCACGGCUAACUACGUG